AGCUGUGCUGGGAAGGAUGCCCAGGGGGGAGCUCGUACCCUGCGGGAGAGGAGCCCUCCUCCUAGGGGCAAUGAAGAAGCCCCCAGAUAAAGGCCCGCGACCCGUACUGGGGGUGGACAGCCUGCGCACAGGGCGCGAGGCGGGCGCAGGAGCCGCGGAGUGGGCGCGGACCGGCGCGGUAACAUCGCGGGCCACAGGGAAGGGGGGACGACGGCCCGGCUGGGGCCGCCGGACGUCGCAGAGGCUUGGCUUGCUAAGCCAGCUGCCCAUUUUGGGCAAAUUGUGCACAGUGAGGUUCCAACGAGAAGAGGAACUGGAGACACCUCCCCUAGCGUCUACCUCUCCUGGAGACUGAGCAUGCACUGGCUAGCCGGCGCCUGUGACGUCCCAAUCGAACUGGCGACAGAGGACGCGCCCUCCAUCACGAACGUGGGAGGCGAGCGCGGGGCCCAGCCGAGGGCGCCAAGAGAGGGCGCCAAAGGGCAAAGGGCAACUCCUGCUUCUGGCGGCAGGUGUUUGGCACGCGAUGGGCCACUGUGUGCGGCCCGUUGGGAACUGUGGGGGCUCCGUGGGCCAGAGCCCUUCCCACUGGGCGCCGGCUCUGCAGGCUCCAGGGCGCCCGGGCCAGGGCCCGGCGUGGGCUGCCUGUGUCUGUAUCGCCGCCCUCUGCCCAUCACAGGCGGCGGCAGAGCCUGCUGGAGGCCGAGACGCAGACAACCCGAUCCUGCCAGGCUCCUCGGGGACCUCUCCACCCCUCUGCGCCGCCGCAAGGAUCGCCAGCCCAGCUGCUAGGGUUUCUGAGAAGGGGCACGGUGCCCACACCGGAUUGGCUGCUGCACCUAUGACAUCCCUUCCGGGCAGGCAGGUUCCGCUCACUUCCUUUUACCAAUUGGGUGAAACGCUCGUUCAGCCCUAGAGCAUGCCCCAGGUCACGCAGGUGCGAGUGGCCCGGCCAGCCUUGAACCAACCUGCGCGGUUCUAGAGCGGUGCCUCCCGGGCACGCACACUUCAUGCAGUACCUUUUUUCCCUGUAGUUUUUAGGGAACUUAUGACCAUGGCAGAGCUGUACCAAGCACAUGCACACGUAGGAAGAGGCAUUGUCUUCAACUCAGCUCGAGUUGACCAGGCCCGCACUGGGCUCCAGUCUCCGCAGAAGAUGUAGAGCGGGUCCGCCGACUGUCAAUACGGCCUCAGCCCACAUUUCUCUUCUCAUGAAGCCUUGCACCCCAGAUUUUCUUUUUGGUCUGGCUUGAAGGAUCAAAAUAUGUAAGGAUUAUUGUCUACAUCAAUUUUGGUCUAUCUUGAAAGAAUUCACCUGUGGCUUAUUCCAUAUGGCUAAGAAGCCAGUUUCUGUGGCCUUCCUGGAAUUUGUCUAGAAAGCAAACACAUUAUUUACAGGUUAAUAGUGGAGCACUAUAUUGGAUGCAAAAAGGGUCAACACGAUUGGAACAUCGUGAUCGUGCCAGCAGGAUCCACUCUUCACCACACAUUAUGGUCACCUGAAUGUAACUCUAGAUAUUCUUGUGCCCGAGAGAGGAGACAUAACUUUGGGUGUCAGGAUAAAGGAAACAUGAAUCAUUGUCCUAAAAGCUGGAAGCUUCAGGAUGACAAGAAACAUUAGAAAAUCCUGCAGGAAUGAUUCUAAAAUCUACAUAUAAUUUUGUCGUCUUUUUGCUUAUGAUCCUUUCAUGACUCGUCACACUUCCAGGAAAAUAGACCAAUGCCCCAGUGCCUCAACAUGGCAGUCUUCUGCCCGGGAAUUGACUCUCCUUGAAAACCGAGACCUAGCCCAGGCCAUUGAAACUUCUUGAGUGUCAGAAGCAUAUAAAACAAUUCUCCACGGCUGCCUGUCUUGAAUUGUGAUACCAUUAUCCUCUUACGGACCAAGUGGUGUGAAAUCAGAUCCUGCCUGGGAGUGGGAAGAGAACAGAAAGGGAAGAUGCUGGCUCCAAGCUCAGCGAGACACAAAGUCUUAUUAGAGUUCUGCAGGGGCCUGUUCAAAGUCUGGGUAUAUUCUGUCAUUUGGCAGGAAUUAAAUAGAGCCUGUGUCCUCUAAGAUUAUUCUGUUACCUUCAGGAUCAGGUUGCCCAUCAUUAUAUUUAACCUAUGGGAAAAGCCAACACAAAGCUGUGCUGAAGAUGUAAUAGGAAACAUAUAAUAAAGAACCUCAUGUCAAAGAGACACAAGUUCCCACCGAGAGCUGGUGCGGGAUGAAUUCUUUCUGCCUCUGCCUACCAUCCCUGAGGGAAGCUCAGCCUCCCAGGCCCCAAGGGAUGGGAAGCAAAGCAGCCCCCGCCGCCUCUGGACAGAUACAGGUGCUCGGUCUUGUUUGUUGGUGAGGUAGCCGUGUGGAGGGUGCAGGAAGAAGAGAAGGGAAUUGAGAGCUGACCUUAUCUUGCUUAAUCUGUAUGGAUUCCAGAAGGCCCCAGGGAACCUGAGAUUCCGAGACUUAUUCCCUUCUCACGUUUCCUACUGGAAAUCCCUCCAGCUGGCGAGAUGAUAAAAUAGGUACCAUUUAGCCGGCUAAUGAAGUCCAUAUGCAAUUGUUAGAAAUAUAAUUGACGCUUCAGACUUGGGAUCUGCUUUUCACUUUGUAUAGUUUUCUGCUGCCCAGCGUGCCUGUCUGCUGGGAAUGCUUCUGUUUUCCAGGCUUCUUUGCCUGGCUGGAGUUAAAAGUAGACGCUUGAUGUGCUAAUGUCAGGUUAUAAUAAUACCUAUAUGUUAUGCUGAUUAAAUAAAAUAACAUUUGUAAAGUGCCAGACACUCGGUGGCACUGUCGAGGUUGGACGGUCACUUACAGUCUGCCCGUGCCAACUUUUCCAGGCGUGUUUCUCAGGCCGCGUCC